rnacentral:rRNA from 1 species
AUUGAACGCUGGCGGCAGGCCUAACACAUGCAAGUCGAACGGUAACAGGAAGAAGCUUGCUUCUUUGCUGACGAGUGGCGGACGGGUGAGUAAUGUCUGGGAAACUGCCUGAUGGAGGGGGAUAACUACUGGAAACGGUAGCUAAUACCGCAUAACGUCGCAAGACCAAAGAGGGGGACCUUCGGGCCUCUUGCCCUCGGAUGUGCCCAGAUGGGAUUAGCUAGUAGGUGGGGUAACGGCUCACCCAGGCGACGAUCCCUAGCUGGUCUGAGAGGAUGACCAGCCACACUGGAACUGAGACACGGUCCAGACUCCUACGGGAGGCAGCAGUGGGGAAUAUUGCACAAUGGGCGCAAGCCUGAUGCAGCCAUGCCGCGUGUAUGAAGAAGGCCUUCGGGUUGUAAAGUACUUUCAGCGGGGAGGAAGGGAGUAAAGUUAAUACCUUUGCUCAUUGACGUUACCCGCAGAAGAAGCACCGGCUAACUCCGUG